UUAGUCCUCUUUGGGUCGAUUUCUCCCCCUACUAAUCUCAGACUGCUUCGUUUUUGCUUGGACCAGCGGAUUUAAGCCCUAAUUGUGCAAAAACGGUACCCGAUUUUGGCUGAAAUCCUGCGAUACCGAGCCCUGGAAGAGAUUUGAUUCCGGCGAGGGAAGCGGUUCGCCGUUGCCCUUAUGUGGUUUUCUUUCUCGUGUAUUCUUGCUUAGAUUCAUGUGAGAUGAAGGAUCCGCUGGAGAGGACGAAGGUCGUGCUGCGGCACUUGCCGUCGUCGCUCACUGAGCCGGCUCUCAUGGAGCAGAUCGACGGAAAGUUUGCCGGCAGGUACAAAUGGUUAUGCUUCCGGCCGGGGAAAAACAGCCAAAAGAAUCCGCGAUAUUCACGAGCUUACAUUGAUUUCAAGAACCCUGAAGAUGUCUUUGAGUUUGCCGAGUUCUUUGAUGGCCAUGUAUUUGUCAAUGAAAAAGGUACUCAGUUUAAGGUUCUGGUGGAAUAUGCUCCAUCUCAAUGCAUUCCGAAGCCAAGGACCAAGAAAGAUGGCCGUGAGGGGACAAUAUUCAAGGAUCCUGAAUAUUUGGAGUUUCUCGAGCUUCUUACAAAGCCUACAGAGAAUCUCCCUAGUGCUGAGAUUCAGCUUGAAAGGAGAGAAGCUGAAAGAGCUGGUGCUGCUAAGGAGGUUCCUAUUGUGACUCCUUUGAUGGAUUUCAUCAGGAAAAAAAGGGCAGCUAAGAGCGGGCCUCAGGUAAAUUUUCAGAGAAUGCCCGGUAAUGGAAAAUCAAGCAGAAGAGCUGUAAUUGCUGGUAACAGUUCUAGCCCGUAUUCCAAACGUGGUUCUGAUAAGAGAAGAGGUCCCAACUUAAUGUAUGUUUCAAGGGAUAAUCCGAAGAAUGAAAGUGGAAAGGAACAGCAAACUUACAUAUUAAUGCCAAGGAGGGAUGAACGACUUACUGAGACAUCCACUGAUCUUCCAUCUACAAGCAGGAAAGAAGACAUUCAAGUAGAAACAGUUACUGGCCGGAAUGGAACGAUAUCCGCAGUGCCUGUUUCUGUAGAAACAGGGAAAAAGGCUCUUUUGCUUUUGAAAGGGAAAGAACGUGGAAGUUCUCAUAUUCAGCAACUCGAGGCUCCUGGAAGAAUUAUUAGAAGCAUAUUAUCUAACAAGGAAAGGCAGCAGGUGUUGACAUCUCAAUCAGACCCUCAGUUGAUUAAUGGCAACACAGAGAAAGAUAAGCGCCCUCCCCGACCUCCUGUCCCACCACCAAAUUUAAAGGAACGUGCUUCUGGUUUAUUGCACGUAUCUGCUUCAGAUGCUAAUGGAAAAUCAAAUAUAGAUGACCUCAUUGAUUCAAAUAAAUUGCAUGCUUUCACUAUCGAAAAUAAGCACGACAAGCGCAUGAGGAAUAAGGAUAGGCCUGAUCGUGGGGUAUGGGCGCCCCUUCGUCGCUCUGAUGGUUCUUAUGGGCGUGGCACUACUAAUGGGAUCCCAUUUUAUCAUGAAGAGAUUAAGCAUGAUUCUUCAAAUGGCAAUAGAAAUUCAGAAUUUAAAAGCCUUGCAGGUGGACGGGGAAGCCAUGCUUUGGAGAACGGUACACAGAGGCAUGUAGGCCGCCGUGGAUCAGCUCAUGUUUCAAAGGAAUUGGAUCACUCUUCAACUACAGCAGAAGGGAAACCCUUGAAAAGAGGCCCUCCUAGCUAUGGUUCCCACGAGGUGAGUGCUUCUUUAUGGAAAUGUUUUUAUUGUCAAAUGUUGACUUGUACAACUAAUAAGACUAUUUUACAGAAACAAGUGUGGGUUCAGAAGUCAGGUUCUGCUUCAUGAUUUUCCCUGGGGAAAAAAGGAAAAAAUUAAUGGUUACAAGGUAUCCACAAUAACAUGCACAUACAGAAGAGGGGCGAGAGAGAACAAAGCUUUCGUCAUAGUUUGGUACCAUUCUGCAUUGGGUUUCUCUAUCAGUUUCAAAUUCCUGGAGGACGACGACGAGACAUCAUUGUUGCCCAGAAUUCACAACGGGCAAUAUGAUCAUCUCGCUUUCAAUGAUCAGGCUGGAAUUUUCUACCUUCCAUCCACCAAUGGAGUUUUCGCCAGCUAAACAGUUCUCUACGUGACAGUGGUAGCAGCUUUGCCUGUUUGGUAUAUGAAAGCUUGUUUUACGGAUUCCUGAAUAACUGAGAAGUUCUUGCCUGGCAAUCAUUCAACAGAGCUUUCCAUGGAAGCUGCUCAGUUUGUUUGAGUGGCUGAAAAUGGAAGACUGUUGGGUCUUCUCUGCUUGCAACUUGGGAGGUAAAGAUUUGGCCAAAGGAUGUAAAUAUAUCAGGACUCGGCGAGCGCUUCUAUAGAGACAUUGUUAAUAUGAAGUUUAAGGAUUUGUUGCACAGUGUUUUAAUUGCUGGAGUGAACAGGAGAUGGUUCUUAGUGUUUUCUUGCAGAUAUGUAAAUGCUCACGCGCCUUAUAAAGCAGAGUUGGCUUCUCUUACAAGCCAACCGGCUGACUGGCAGAGUGGGAGGUGGUUUGUCUAUGAAAUAUUGGGGUUUUGGUGAAGUGAACGCUAUUCUACUUUUAUAUUAUAAACUUUAUAGUUAUUUUGAUUUUUA